rnacentral:rRNA from 1 species
CGCUGAUCUGCCCUGGGUAAGUCGGGGCCUAAGGAGAGGCAGAAAUGCGUAUCCGAUGGACAGCAGGUUGAGAUUCCUGCACUAUCUUAAAACAGAACUGUGGGGACAUUUGUGGAGAGCACAGGCGCGGAACGGAAAGCCGCGUGCAAGCGAAGGAGGAGUCACAUAGGAAAAACCGUGUGGCAAUCCAAAGGCGUGAUGCGGACCGAACUAAAGUAGGGAAGUGUGUGAGCCAUGAAUCAAGAAAAGCCGCUAUUGUUUUUAAGAUACCCGUACCGUAAACCGACACAGGUGGAUGAGAAGAGAAUCCUAAGGCCGGCGGAAGAAGCAUUGUUAAGGAACUCGGCAAAAUGACCCCGUAACUUCGGGAGAAGGGGUGCCAACGAGAGUUGGCCGCAGAGAAUAGGCUCAAGCAACUGUUUAGCAAAACACAGGUCUAUGCAAAACCGUAAGGUGAGGUAUAUGGGCUGACGCCUGCCCGGUGCUGGAAGGUUAAGAGGAGAGGUUAGCGCAAGCGAAGCUUUGAAUUUAAGCCCCAGUAAACGGCGGCCGUAACAAUAACGGUCCUAAGGUAGCGAAAUUCCUUGUCGGGUAAGUUCCGACCCGCACGAAAGGCGUAAUGAUUUGAGCGCUGUCUCGACAAUGCAUCCGGUGAAAUUGAAGUACCAGUGAAGAUGCUGGUUACCCGCGCCAGGACGGAAAGACCCCAUGGAGCUUUACUCCAGUUUGGUACUGGGGUCCGGCAGUGCAUGUACAGGAUAGGUGGGAGGCUGAGAACCUGGAACGCCAGUUUCAGGGGAGCCGUUGUUGGGAUACCACCCUUGUGCUGCUGGGCUUCUAACCAGCGGCCUUUAUCAGGCCGGGGGACAAUGCCAGACGGGGAGUUUGACUGGGGCGGUCGCCUCCGAAAGGGUAUCGGAGGCGCUCAAAGGUUCCCUCAGAAUGGUCGGAAACCAUUCGAAGAGUGCAAAGGCAGAAGGGAGCUUGACUGCGACACCGACGGGUGGAGCAGGUACGAAAGUAGGACUUAGUGAUCCGGUGGUAUUAAGUGGGAAUGCCAUCGCUCAACGGAUAAAAGCUACCCCUGGAUAACAGGCUUAUCACUCCCAAGAGUUCACAUCGACGGAGUGGUUUGGCACCUCGAUGUCGGCUCAUCGCAUCCUGGGGCUGUAGUAGGUCCCAAGGGUUGGGCUGUUCGCCCAUUAAAGCGGUACGCGAGCUGGGUUCAGAACGUCGUGAGACAGUUCGGUCCCUAUCCGGCGUGGGCGUAGGAUAUUUGAGAGGAGCUGUCCUUAGUACGAGAGGACCGGGAUGGACUGACCUCUGGUGUACCGGUUGAACCGCCAGGUUCACGGCCGGGUAGCCAAGUCGGGAAGGGAUAAACGCUGAAGGCAUCUAAGCGUGAAGCCCCCCUCAAGAUGAGAUAUCCCAUUCGAAAGAAGUAAGACCCCUUGAAGACGACGAGGUAGAUAGGGCAGAGGUGGAAGUGCCGUAAGGCAUGGAGCUGACUGUUACUAAUCGGUCGAGGGCUUGACAG